CAUAUGCUUGUCUCAAAGAUUAAGCCAUGCAUGUCUAAGUAUAAGCAAUUUAUACAGUGAAACCGGCGAAUGGCUCAUUAAAUCAGUUAUCGUUUAUUUGAUAGUUCCUUUACUACAUGGUAUAACUGUGGUAAUUCUAGAGCUAAUACAUGCUUAAAAUCUCGACCUUUCGGAAGAGAUGUAUUUAUUAGAUAAAAAAUCAACGUCUUCGGACUCCUUGAUGAUUCAUAAUAACUUUUCGAAUCGCAUGGCCUUGUGCUGGCGAUGGUUCAUUCAAAUUUCUGCCCUAUCAACUUUCGAUGGUAGGAUAGUGGGCCUACCAUGGUUUCAACGGGUAACGGGGGAAUAAGGGUUCGAUUCCGGAGAAGGGAGCCUGAGAAACGGCUACCACAUCCAAGGAAGGCAGCAGGCGCGCAAAUUACCCAAUCCUGACACAGGGAGGUAGUGACAAUAAAUAACGAUACAGGGCCCUUACGGGUCUUGUAAUUGGAAUGAGUCAAUGUAAAUACCUUAACGAGGAACAAUUGGAGGGCAAGUCUGGUGCCAGCAGCCGCGGUAAUUCCAGCUCCAAUAGCGUAUAUUAAAGUUGUUGCAGUUAAAAAGCUCGUAGUUGAACUUUGGGCCUGGUCGGCCGGUCCGGAUUUUUCCGCGUACUGGUUUUUCCGACCCGGCCUUUCCUUCUGGCUAGCCCUGGGUCCUUGUGGCCCUUGGUGAACCAGGACUUUUACUUUGAAAAAAUUAGAGUGUUCAAAGCAGGCGUAUUGCUCGAAUAUAUUAGCAUGGAAUAAUAGAAUAGACGUUUGGUUCUAUUGUGUUGGUUUCUAGGACCAUCGUAAUGAUUAAUAGGGACGGUCGGGGGCAUCAGUAUUCAGUUGUCAGAGGUGAAAUUCUUGGAUUUACUGAAGACUAACUACUUGCGAAAGCAUUUGCCAAGGACGUUUUCAUUAAUCAAGAACGAAAGUUAGGGGAUCGAAGAUGAUCAGAUACCGUCGUAGUCUUACCCAUAACUAUGCCGACUAGGGAUCGGGUGGUGUUUUUUUACUGACCCACUCGGCACCUUUCGAGAAUCAAAGUCCUUGGGUCUUGGGGGAGUAUGGUCGCAAGGCUGUAACUAAAGGAAUUGCGGAAGGGCACCACCAGGAGUGGAGCCUGCGGCUUAAUUUGACUCAACACGGGGAAACUCACCAGGUCCAGACACAAUAAGGAUUGACAGAUUGAGAGCUCUUUCUUGAUUUUGUGGGUGGUGGUGCAUGGCCGUUCUUAGUUGGUGGAGUGAUUUGUCUGCUUAAUUGCGAUAACGAACAAGACCUUAACCUACUAAAUAGUGGUGCUAGCCUUUGCCGGGUUUUUCCACUUCUUAGAGGGACUAUCGGUUU
rnacentral:rRNA from 1 species